rnacentral:rRNA from 1 species
CGGGGGGGCAAGCGUUGUUCGGAAUUACUGGGCGUAAAGGGUGCGUAGGCGGCUUUCUAAGUUGGAUGUGAAAACUCUGGGCUCAACCCAGAGCCUGCAUCCAAAACUGGAGAGCUUGGGUACUGGAGGGGAAAGCGGAAUUCCUGGCGUAGCGGUGAAAUGCGUAGAUAUCAGGAGGAACACCGGUGGCGAAGGCGGCUUUCUGGACAGUUACCGACGCUGAGGCACGAAAGCUAGGGGAGCAAACAGGAUUAGAUACCCUGGUAGUCCUAGCCCUAAACGAUGGAUACUUGCUGUGAGGGGGAUUGAAACCCUUUGUGGCGAAGCUAACGCAUUAAGUAUCCCGCCUGGGGAGUACGGUCGCAAGGCUG